UCACUACAUUCCUCAUGUAACCCAAUACUGCUGAACUGGAACAUAACUUUUGGUGUUUGUAAAGACAGGAAGACUGUUUGAAUUUGGAUAUACAACAUAUUCAAGGUGCAAUGCGAUCAAAUGGGACACUUCAGCCGGAGGAGUACAUUUAACCCAUAAGAAGCCGUGGACCAACACUUCAAAUGCCUUCAAAUGUGUCCUAUACAGCUUUGUGCUUGACUUGAAGUUUCUAAGUGACGUAUAGGAAACAUUUUGCAGUGGUUGUCAUCAGACAGUCUUGUGACUAUUCCAGGAUACAGCAUCCCCAAAAUGGCAGCGUGUCAGAAAACAAGGUACAAAACAAUUUGGAGUGGUUGUCGUGACUAUCCUGGGAUCUGGUUUACCCCAAAUGGCGGCGUGUCAGAAAACAAGCUGCAAAACAUUUUGGAGUGGUUGUCAUGUGACUAUGACAAUCUGGUUUCCCCAAAAUGGCGUUGGGUCAGUCUUACAGAGCGCUUCACAAACCCAGCGGUGAGAACAUGUCAGAGCCUGGAAAGUAAAUACGAGAAGAAACAAAGGGGGCCGCUUGGCUUGCUCAUCGUUCAUCCAGCAGGUAAGGGAGGAUGGAAGACAAUCUUACUUUGUGAGUCGUGGACCGUGACUGCAAAAUGUCUCCUCGCACUACAUUAUUGCAAUUCCCCAAAAUGAUUUUCAGAACAAAAAAAGGUUUAACAAGUGCACUAAUAGACUAUU